GAUUUUUGAUAGGGGCUUUUUGAUAUGUGUAUAACCAAUACUUUAUUCUCACUGUAGUCAAGGACUUAUUACAAUUCGGAAAUGAGAAGCUGAUCCGGAACUCCACUACAGGUGGUCUUUUUAAAAAGAUCUCUCACAAAAAGAAAGAAGUUUAUGCUCCUCAUGCCUAAAAUCUGUUGGCUGACACUUUGUUCUUUAAUUUCGCCAGCUCAAAGAAAUUCUCGAAUGUUCUCACCUAUUAACAGUUAUUAAAAUGGAAGAAGCUGGGGAUGAAAUUGUGAGCAAUGCCAUCUCCUACGCUCUAUACAAAGCCUUCAGCACCAAUGAGCAAGACAAGGAUAACUGGAAUGGGCAGCUGAAGCUUCUGCUGGAGUGGAACCAGCUGGACUUAGCCAAUGAUGAGAUUUUCACCAAUGACCGCCGAUGGGAGUCUGCUGACCUUCAAGAAGUCAUGUUUACAGCUCUCAUAAAGGACAGACCCAAGUUUGUCCGCCUCUUUCUGGAGAAUGGCUUGAACCUGCGGAAGUUUCUCACCCACGAUGUCCUCACUGAGCUCUUCUCCAACCACUUCAGCACCCU
rnacentral:sRNA from 1 species